rnacentral:rRNA from 1 species
GUGCCAGCCGCCGCGGUAAUACGGAGGGUGCAAGCGUUGUCCGGAAUCAUUGGGUGUAAAGGGUGCGUAGGCGGAAGCCUAAGUCGGAGGUGAAAUCUUGCCGCUUAACGGUAAAAUGGCCUUCGAUACUGGGUUUCUUGAGUCCGGAAGAGGUUGGUGGAAUUCGUGGUGUAGCGGUGAAAUGCAUAGAUAUCACGAAGAACACCGGUGGCGAAGGCGGCCAACUGGUCCGGUACUGACGCUGAGGCACGAGAGCGUGGGGAGCGAACAGGAUUAGAACCCCAGUAGUCC